GAUGAACGCUGGCGGCGUGCCUAAUACAUGCAAGUCGAGCGAAUGGAUUAAGAGCUUGCUCUUAUGAAGUUAGCGGCGGACGGGUGAGUAACACGUGGGUAACCUGCCCAUAAGACUGGGGUAACUCCGGGAAACCGGGGCUAAUACCGAAUAACAUUUUGAACCGCAUGGUUCGAAAUUGAAAGGCGGCUUCGGCUGUCACUUAUGGAUGGACCCGCGUCGCAUUAGCUAGUUGGUGAGGUAACGGCUCACCAAGGCAACGAUGCGUAGCCGACCUGAGAGGGUGAUCGGCCACACUGGGACUGAGACACGGCCCAGACUCCUACGGGAGGCAGCAGUAGGGAAUCUUCCGCAAUGGACGAAAGUCUGACGGAGCAACGCCGCGUGAGUGAUGUAGGCUUUCGGGUCGUAAAACUCUGUUGUUAGGGAAGAACAAGUGCUAGUUGAAUAAGCUGACACCUUGACGGUACCUAACCAGAAAGCCACGGCUAACUACGUGCCAGCCGCCGCAGUAA
rnacentral:rRNA from 1 species